GACGAACGAUGGCGGCGUGCUUAACACAUGCAAGUCGAACGAAGUGGCGAACGGGUGAGUAACGCGUAAUCCACCUGCCCUUCAGAGGGGGACAACAGUUGGAAACGACUGCUAAUACCGCAUCCGGAAGGCGGGGAUUUCGUCUGAUUAGCUGUGUGGAGGGGUAACGGCCCACCAAGGCGAUGCUCAGUAGCCGGUCUGAGAGGAUGAACGGCCACAUUGGGACUGAGACACGGCCCAGACUCCUACGGGAGGCAGCAGUGGGGAAUCUUCCGCAAUGGACGAAAGUCUGACGAAGCAACGCCGCGUGAGUGAUGACGGCCUUCGGGUUGUAAAGCUCUGUUAAUCGGGACGCGGUACCGGAAUAGAAAGCCACGGCUAACUACGUGCCAGCAGCCGCGGUAAUAC
rnacentral:rRNA from 1 species